GCUGGUUAGAACCAGCAUGAAGUUCAGACACUAGUAUUCAGAAAAUUCCAACUUCUCCACAUCUCCAUUGUCUUACUGGUAAAGCAGCAGAUAAAUAAAAUCAUUGUAACAGUUUCCACCUGCUCUAAAGUUUCAUGAUUAUUUGAUAGCAAAAUUUUCUCAAAAGAUGUCCCUUGAGGAAGAAAUAUGUUGAAUACUUAUGUCAAUCUGACAAAAAAUCCAUGGAUUUUCUAGUGUGUUCUAUUGUCGGUUUUUUAAAAGAUGACUAAUAUAUAUGCCUUGGUCUUAGAUGUAGAGCAUAAUAAGAAGGGAGUGACAACGGCAUUGACUAUAAAACAGCAGGUACUAUUCGAGUACAAAGAGGGAGAGGAUACAGGACGUGGAACAUUUGUCCUGAUUUCACACCUUAUGCUGCAGCUCAGUCAGUGCACGGAAGGCAAAGCAUGCAGCCAGAAAACAAGUUCCAACUUCACCUCUUCUCUUUCAUCACACCGCUGAGUCCCCGCAACAAGAGUAGAAGAGAGACAUAGUCAAGCACUGUUUGCCUAGAAGCAGAUGCUUGCUUCACCUUCAGACCUGUUUCAAACUGUAUCUGCUUUAUUCUUUGUGACCUCUUUUGAUGUGUGUGGUUUUUUUGUUUGUUUGUUUUUUGUUUUGGUUUUGGUUUUGUUUUGGUUUGGUUUGCUUUUUGGUUUUUUGCUUGUUUUUUUCUUCUUUUUUUGGUACCAGAGAUCAGACUCGGGUCCUUGUGCUUGCUAGGCAGGCAGAGGAAUCACUGAGCUGAAUCCCUGGCCCUAUGAGCUCUUUUACUGUUUAAAAAAUAAUUCUAAGAGUAGCUUCAAAAUGGAAUCCAACUUAUUCAGUAUGAUAUGUAUUAAGCAUCUAUUAUAUUUACAUCACUGAAAUCAUUAACAGUACAGGGUGAAGAAAGGGAUAAGGAAUAAACUAUAUAAAAUAGUCAAUGAGAAACUUUUCUGAAGAAUUUAGAAUCUCAUUGAAAAUAUAAAAAAGGACAAGCAA
rnacentral:lncRNA from 1 species